AUCAUGGAGAGUUUGAUCCUGGCUCAGGACGAACGCUGGCGGCGUGCUUAACACAUGCAAGUCGAACGGGAGGACAUGGGAAGCUUGCUUCCUAUGGACUCUAGUGGCAAACGGGUGAGUAACGCGUAAGCAACCUGCCCUCCGGAUGGGGACAACAGCUGGAAACGGCUGCUAAUACCGAAUACGUUUUCAUUGCCGCAUGGCAGUGGGAAGAAAGGUGGCCUCUGAAUAUGCUACCGCCGGGGGAGGGGCUUGCGUCUGAUUAGCUAGUUGGAGGGGUAACGGCCCACCAAGGCGACGAUCAGUAGCCGGUCUGAGAGGAUGAACGGCCACAUUGGAACUGAGACACGGUCCAGACUCCUACGGGAGGCAGCAGU
rnacentral:rRNA from 1 species